AGCAGCCGCGGUAAUUCCAGCUCCAAUAGCGUAUAUUAAAGUUGUUGCAGUUAAAAAGCUCGUAGUUGAAUUUCGGAAUUUGUCGGUUGGUCGGGCUUCACUGUCCGCACUGGCCUGAUGGAUUCCUACCUUCUGAAUAACCAGCAUGCUAUUAAGUUAGUGCGUUGGGGAAGCAGAGCUAUUACCUUGAAAAAAUUAGAGUGCUUAAAGCAGGCUCACGCUUGAAUAGAUUAGCAUGGAAUAAUAAAAUAGGACGGCAUGGUUCUAUUUUGUUGGUUUCUAGGAUCACCGUAAUGAUUAAUAGGGAUAGUUGGGGGCAUUAGUAUUCAAUUGUCAGAGGUGAAAUUCUUGGAUUUAUUGAAGACUAACUUCUGCGAAAGCAUUUGCCAAGGAUGUUUUCAUUAAUCAAGAACGAAAGUUAGGGGAUCGAAGACGAUCAGAUACCGUCGU
rnacentral:rRNA from 1 species